rnacentral:rRNA from 1 species
AUUGAACGCUGGCGGCAGGCCUAACACAUGCAAGUUGAGCGAGCGGCGGACGGGUGAGUAAUGUAUGGGGACUGCCCAAUAGAGGGGGAUAACUACUGGAAACGGUGGCUAAUACCGCAUACUAUCGGAUAACCCAUAUGGGAUUAGCUAGUAGGUGGGGUAAAGGCUCACCUAGGCGACGAUCUCUAGCUGGUCUGAGAGGAUGAUCAGCCACACUGGGACUGAGACACGGCCCAGACUCCUACGGAGGCAGCAGUGGGGAAUACUGCACAAGGGGCGCAAGCCUGAGGCAGCCAUGCCGCGUGUAUGAAGAAGGCCUUAGGGUUGUAAAGUACUUUCAGCGGGGAGGCGUUACCAACAGAAUAAGCACCGGCUAACUUCGUGCCAGCCGCCGCGGUAAUAC